rnacentral:lncRNA from 1 species
AAUCACCAAAAAGUCAAGCUAGCUAGUGUUAAAGAUUUCUCUAUUAAAAAUGUAAUACCUUAAGUGGGUAGAGGGCACAGCUAUCAGAUGAUAGACUUUUAGCACCAAGGUUAAUUUUUCCCAUGAAUGAAAAUCCUGAAAACCAAUGCUUUCUAUUAAAGUAUAUCUACUUUGAUUCAUCUCAUCAUAGUUUAAUUUGUUUUUCAGUUAUAAUAAUAAUAGACUACACCUCAGAAAAUGAUGAUUUCAAAACUGAAUUAUUUAAUAAAAAGUGCCUACAGGUUUCAAAGAUACAAUUUACAUGUCUGCCCAUCUUAACUCUAGAUACUUGACUUGGUUAGUUAUUUAUAAUAACUUAGUUAGUUAUUAAAAAAUAUCUGGGUGAAAACUUUGUUAUUAUUGUAUAGUUCUACAAAUGAAUCUUUGUCCACUUUUACAAUAUUUAACUUAUUGUUAUGUUUACAAUUAUAAUGGUGUUUAGAUCAGCUACAUAUACAUUUUUAAAAUACAGCAUUCUUUGGCAAAAUGUGUGCUCAUACAAGUUUGAGUUUAUUAUAGACAAAAUAAUAUAGACUGUUUUAAACAAUGUAGUAGCCAUACUUCUUCGCAAAAUAUAUUUUAAAGAUUAAAAUACAAGUUAGAACCUCUACUAUGCAUGACUUGAAAAUUCUGUCACAGAAUCUAAUGCAAAAAAGAAUAUAGGGGUAUAAUCACAUGCAAAUACCAGUAACUUGUAGUUUUUUUAAAUAAUAUUAAAAGGCAAUGUUAUAUAAUAAAAACUCUACAGGAUUCAAAAACAGAUACCUGGAUCACGAAAAUCCAAGUUGGUUCCUAGCACUCACAUGGUUGCUCACAAAUCUCUGUAACUGUAGUUUCAAGGGAUACAGCACCAUCUCUGUCCUCCAUAAGGUCUUGCAAACAUAUGGUGUACCUGAACUCACACAUACCCACACAAAGCCUAAAGGUAUAAGCCUGGGUAUCUAUAAUGAUAACACUUCAAAAAUCUAUAUGUUGUGGCUGGAGAGAUGACACAAUGGUUACACUGCUGUCUUGUGUUCAAAUUCGAGCACCCAGCUAACAAGCUGGACAGGGCACUGUAUGCCUGAAACCUCAGCACUGUGUGUAGUAGGAGCAAUCCAUCGCUGUUGCUUAAUGGCUGCCUGCAUAUUCAUCAAAACAUGAGAUUCAGGUUAAAAGGAAGACCCUGCAUCAGGUAAAUAGGACCUAGAAUUAUAGAGAAGAGCAUUUGACUCCUUUAAUUGUCUAAUGUGUACAGGUCUACACGUGUAGGCCUAUACCAGACACACAUACAUCAUUCAUGUUGUUUAAAACCCUAUUAGACCAUGCUUAACACUAGACUAUUUCCUUACAGAGUUUAAUAUACUUAGAGGAUUUUAGACUUUUUCUAUAACAUAUAAUGGCUAAUAUAUAUCCACUUUGACAUGAACUUUGUAUUUAAGGUAAGCAGGUUUUUCUAGUAACUCAAUAUAUUCGUGUUCUCAUUACCUCUAAGACAAGCAAAACUCACAACUAAGAUCUUUAUAAGGAGAUUGACAGAUUAAAGGUAUUAGUGUUUAAACUUUGCCUCGGGUUACUGUACUAUUUAAAACUAUAAUUUGUUAGACGCCAUACAAUGUUUUGAUUUAGGGAUUUGAUUCAUCCAUUUAGUCAUCAGUUUAAUCUUUCUGCCUUAUUUUAAAUUCAGUUUCUGAAGGUAGAGUCACUAUGAAACGACUUUAGCAUUUGUUACUCUUGUCCUGAUAGUCUCUGUUUUUGUCAUCACAUUGAAAUGGUUUUAAAUGAGAUCUUACCACUGGUGAUAAUUUUUCAUAGAAAUUUUACAACAAGAUUAGAAACACUGGACUUUUAAAUACAUGUUUAACCUAAGAUAUUUUAAGUCAAUUGGUAUAUCAUACCUUAAAUUUUAGAUAUGAUCUGUGAAAUUACAACACAUUAAAAUAGAAUUUUUGUUAUGGAGUGUUUUUAUUUAACUUGUUGAUAGCUGUGUGUGUAAGACAUAAAGAAAUACAUGGCUUACUUAAUUAAUAUAACCUGACAAUGAUUUUACACUUGUGUGCGUACUUCUGGAGAUCCAUUAAGCCAUAUUAGAAUGAGAGAACUACUAAUCAUUAUUUAUUACUCAACAACACAAGAUUUCCUGUCUUACAGACUGGUAUUGAAAAAACUUAUUUAGUGGAAUUACUAAUUUAAUUAAGUCAUAAAAUUAAUUAGUGAAAUGACUAAUUUCACUAAAUAAAUUCAUUUUUUUUAGUUCCACAUUCAAACUCUAUUGCCAUUUUUAUUUUUAGGGGCUGAAUACACAUUGACAGAUUUUAGUGGAAAAAAAUUCAUGAAUCUUAUGACAUUGCCUGUGAGUAGAUGAACUUUAGCUAUCUGAACCCUAAACUACCAACCAUCUAAAUCAUUUGGCAUAGUAAGACUAGUGGAUGGCAGUGUUCUUCAAGGACUCUAAUUUGAAUGGGGCUGUUGAAAUAAAUCAGUGGGUAAAGGCACUUGUCAGCAUAUCUGGUGAUCUUAGCUUCAUUCUCAGAACCUAACUGGUGGGAGUUAUCCCCUCACCUCCACAUGCACACUGCGGCACCAUACACCGCCACACACACAGUAACACAGUAACACAUUUAGAAGAAAGGAAGAAAGAAAGAAAGAAAGAAAGAAAGAAAGAAAGAAAGAAAGAAAGAAAGAAAGAAAGAAAGAAAGAAAG